rnacentral:rRNA from 1 species
UACAGAGGGUGCGAGCGUUAAUCGGAAUUACUGGGCGUAAAGCGCGCGUAGGCGGCCACUUAAGUCGGAUGUGAAAGCCCCUGGCUCAACUGGGGAAGUGCACCCGAAACUGAAUGGCUUGAAUGCAAAAGAGGGUCGCGGAAUUCCCGGUGUAGAGGUGAAAUUCGUAGAUAUCGGGAGGAACACCGGUGGCGAAGGCGGCGACCUGGGUUGACAUUGACGCUGAGGCGCGAAAGCGUGGGGAGCAAACAGG